rnacentral:misc_RNA from 1 species
GUGAGUCAUCGAAUCUUUGAACGCACAUUGCGCCCCUCGGUACUCCGGGGGGCAUGCCUGUCCGAGCGUCAUUGAAAACUUAUCAAGCCUGGCUUGGUCUUGGGCGUGGUCUGAGGACCCGCCCGCAACCCGUCGGCGGUGCCGGUUCGGUCCUGAGCGUAGCAAGAUACUCGUUCAGACGCCGCGUCGGCGCCCGCUAGGAGCCUACAUCUACAGUUUGACCUCGGAUCAGGUAGGGAUACCCGCUGAACUUAAGCAUAUCAAUAAGCGGAGGA